rnacentral:rRNA from 1 species
UGGUGGGUUGCCUUGUCAGGUUGAUUCCGGUAACGAACGAGACCUCAGCCUGCUAAAUAGUCCUGGGCGCUUCUUGCGGUCAGCUGACUUCUUAGAGGGACUAUUGGCGUUUAGUCAAUGGAAGUAUGAGGCAAUAACA